GUAAUUAUUGAGAUGGACUGAUCAGUAAGUGGGUACCAAAUUCAAUUUUGCUUAUGACCUUAUUCAAUCUGGCGUGAUCAAAAUAAAAUGCUGUGCGGUUUGUUGCCUCUUACGUGACCUGCGUGUAAAUGUCUUUCAAGACUCGGAGCGUGAUAGUUUUAACACUGCGUUCGAGGUCGCAGGGAGACAAGCCCUUACGUUGAUACAGGUAACCGAGGCGUGGCCAGGCGCACAGGUGGAAAAAAAAAAAAGCAAGCUCAUCACCUGGCAGCCGCUAUUUCUCUUCCCGUCCUGCACUGCAGCGCUGUGCUCCGGUUAUGGCCUCGAGUGGCGUGGGGAAGUGCUUGCUGUUCUUCUUCCUCGCCCUGGCGUUCGACGCCGGCGGCCUGGCGAUGCUCCUCGUCGGCAUUUUCGGCAACCUGACCGCAGRCGGCCGCUUCUACGGGGACUUCCUCAUCUACACGGGCUCCGUCAUUAUUUUCUUCAGCCUGAUGUGGUGGGUGUUGUGGUACACGGGGAACGUGCACCUGUACGCGCCGGGAUACAGGAGGGACUCUCUGGACGCCAGCCUCACGCAGUGGGCCAGGAAGUUGUCCGAGAGGUUCUCCAAGGGCGGCGGCGGCAAGAAGCCCCUGGAAGCGGCGGAGGAUGAGCAGGAGAUGAAGAAAAAGGAGAUGGGUGGAGAGGUGGUGGAGGCGAAGGGGGCCGUGCUCUUCUCUGCGCCGCCUCKGAUUGCAUGGGAAGCCGGCGGCGGAGGUCAGGAUAACGGGGGCUUUGACGGAUGGAGCGAGUGCGCAUCUCCGGCUGAUAAAAACGUGGAGCUGGGGGUCCUGACGGUGGCGGAGGCGGCUCUGCAGGCGGGAGACGCUAAAGCAGAGAGGCUCCUCUGACAGCAUGUUGAGAGAUCUUCAGUGACCCAUGGCAGUUUUUAAUUAAUGAGCCUGACCGUUUGUGCUCACCUUCACACUUCAGCGGUAUUUUAGCCGUCAGUUUGCUUAUGGUGGUGUUGGUGCUCCUGGACAUGAGCUACUUCCUGUUUUUGUUGGGAUUUUUUUUCCUUCUCCCCUGAGAUUUCAACAGACUUUAACAUUUAAACUUGUGAGCAAAAGCCACGUUUAUGAGAACAUCUUGCUUGGUGUAAAGCUCUCUAAAAUAAGAAAAGCCACACGGUGAAGAAAAUGUGCAUUUCAUUUUUAUGUUUUCUGUGUAACUAUAUGUAUAUUUGUGUCUAAAUUAUUUUUGGGAAUAAAGUGCAAAGAUAUUUAAA